GCCGAGAUAGCUCAGCUGGUAGAGCACAGGACUGAAAAUCCUGGUGUCGCCGGUUCGAGUCCGGCUCUCGGCACCA
rnacentral:tRNA from 1 species